ACAACCAGAGGUCAUGGGUUAAGGGUGGAAGGUGAAGGGUUUAAGGGGAACAUGAGGGGAAACUCAGCGGGUCGUCAGAGUGUGGAACAAGCUGGCUGCUGAAGUGGUGCAUGCGAGGUAGAUUUUAACGUUUAAGUGGUUUGGCUGGGCACGUCAAUGGUAGGCCAAGGGUUCUGCUGCAGGUCGAUGGGAGUAGGCAGUUUAAAUGGUUUCAGCAUGGACUAGAUGGGCCAAAGGGCCUGUUUCUGAGCUGUACUUCUCUAAGGCUCCAUGUGUCAUUGGACUUACAGCAAUGACAUAAGAUAAAACUGUACAGGUGAAAAUUAGAUCAAUAAAGCAAGAGAGAAAGCAGGCAGUCAAGUUCAGGGGCCGGCCAGCCGGAAAUGUGCUGGUGGAGGGGUAGAUGCUGUUCCUAACACUCUGCGUGUGGUUCUUCAGCUGGCUCAAACAUGAAGAGGGCAUGAUCCGGUGGUGAGGGUCCUUCUCGAGGCACGGCCUCUUGAAGACGUCCCUGAUGUGGGGAGGGUUGUGCUGUAAUGGAGGUGCCUGAGUCUCCAGCCUCUGUGACCCUGUGCAUUGGAGAAGCUGUGCCGGGCUCUGCGCCAUACAUUUACAAAUAAUGGCAAUCACUGAUUCUGAAUGCAGUCAUAGGACACGGGAAUAGCUGGGCAGUCCGUCUGGGCUGGGGGCUGGUGACUGGGGACAGUCCUCACAUUACCUCAUCCUCUCCUCUUCCUUCCAGCUGAACAUCUCUUUCAACGACUCGGAGUCCAUCUUCGAGUACCCGUCGGAGCUGGCGCUUCUGGCAGAGUUUGGCACAGGCGACGACGAGGUGCUGCCCCAGGCCCGGGAGCCUCAGGAGGAAGAGGAGGAGGAGGAGGAGGAGGCGCUAGUCUCCCGCCGAGAGGCGCCUGGGUCACCCGUGAUCCGAAGGGCAGUCCGCAGAAAACCUCUGCUCGUAGACGAGAGCUGCAGGUGAUGCUGGACAGCCGCCACCCGACGCUCGACUUCCGGAAAUGCCACCGAACUCUGCUUUAAGUCUCGUAAGUUGCUGAGGACCACAUACCUAACGAGAACAAAGAUCACAAUCCAGGAGCCUUUGGUUUCCCCUCCGUUCACUGGGCCUGCAGUGGAUGCCUCUGUCAAAGUGGUUCACUUCCUCUGGAUGCUUUUCUCAGGAACGAACAUCUCCACCAGGUCAAGUGGAACUUGUGACCACAGCCGGAGAGAAUGGACAUCGUGUGUUUAUACUGUUAGAGGACCGCUGCGGUUCCUCGCUCGAACAUAACUUCCCAAAUGCCAAAUCCUUUUUCCUAGCUUCACAUGCCGGAUACAUGAAGUUCUUGAAGAACGUAAGCUCCUGCAGGAGGAACAGUUGUCAUGGCGAUGUGUGUGUGCGUGCGCAAGUAAAGGGGGAUUUGGUAUGUCAAUAAUAUUUAUUCCUCCCCUCGUGUGUAAACAGGGUUGAGUGCUGUACUUUGACAGGGUUUCUCUCUGUGGGGAGACAGGACACUGGGCAGAAUGAAUAUCCCAUCCUACCCCCCCCCGCUGGUGAGGGUGAAGUAAGUGCGACAGAGGACAGAGGCCUGGUACGGUCCAGACCUGGACCUCAUCUGUGCUGUGGGGAGGUUCGCAGUUCCCAGUGGCUCAACAGUGUAUUUCACACAGAUCCCACUGGGCAGGACCUCUCCAGCAGCACUGUCCAUCCUGGAGCGAGCCUGCCAUUCUCUCACUUCCUGUCAUCGGCUUACGACCCCGCUCAUGGCAAACAGAUUAUCACGAGGCGUGGAGACCCUAGCCAGCCUACCCUGGGAUCUUCCAACCCUAAUUCCUUCAUCUUCCCUGUCUUCCUCUACAUAGCAUUUUGGGAAUUGGGAAAACAGGGAGGAGCCAUAAGACUAUAAAAUAUAGGAUUAGAAUCAGGCCAUUCAGCCCACCGAAUUCGCCCUGCCACGCACUCAUGCCUGAUAUUUCUUUCUAACUUGCUUCUCCCGCCUGCUCUCUGUAAAUCUUAACCCCAUUACCAAUCACAAACCUCCUCGAUCUCUGCCUUAAGUACAACAAUUUGGCCUCCACAGCUCUCUGUGGCAGUGAGUCCCAUAGAUUCAUCACCCUCUGCCUGAAGAAAUCCCCCCUCCUCAGGGUUCUAAAAGGACGUCCCUUCAUUCGGAGGAGAAUGUAAUGACCCCAGCUACUUGUCUAUCCUGGGAUGACCGGUCCCAGUGAACAGCAAUCAGUGUGCAAGGAAAUAUGUCCAACUCCGACUCAGGAAUUCUUCCCCCAAAAUGACAGGGUUUCCCCAACCCUCACCCCCACUGGGCAUCGGUGAGUCCGUUGGCCUCUCUCUCUCUCUCUCUCUCUCUCUCUCCAAGUCAUUCAGACACAAUCCCUCUGAAUAAUCCUGGGAAUUGUCCCACCUUCUAGUCAUGCAUCUCUUCUGCCUGGAAGUGGAAUGCACUCAGCUCCUGUUAAUCAGAGGCCCUGCACGGGAUAAAUCCUGGGAUUAUCUGUGACAACUGGCUGGUCCCAGGAUCACUAUCAGGAUAUGAGAUUUCCUAAAAACCACCCCUUCCCGCUCCCAGUCCGGAUACAGUCUUCCAGUCCGCACAAGACAUUCCCGUCUCCCAGUUUACAAGCUCCAGAUUGUAAGUGUUUUUUUCUAAUAUAAACUUUACAGUAGAUUUUGUGUGUGAGUGUGAGAUUUUAUUACGAGUUUGGUGUGAGUGGUUAAACGAUGCAUGCCAACUAUUCAGCUGUCACAGCCGUAUCCUCCUUGAAAGUGUACUCGCACAUGAACCUCAAUAAAAUUUUGUAACUGGUUCAA